rnacentral:rRNA from 1 species
UACGUAGGGGGCAAGCGUUGUCCGGAAUCAUUGGGCGUAAAGCGCGUGUAGGCGGCCAGAAAAGUCCGCUGUGAAAGUCCAGGGCUCAACCCUGGAAUGCCGGUGGAAACUGUCGGGCUAGAGUCCGGAAGAGGCGAGUGGAAUUCCUGGUGUAGCGGUGAAAUGCGCAGAUAUCAGGAGGAACACCGAUGGCGAAGGCAGGUCUCUGGGCCACUACUGACGCUGAGACGCGAAAGCGUGGGGAGCGAACAGG